ensembl:lncRNA
UAGCAAGGCAAACUUAAAACAAAAAAGUCAACCAAUGUUUGACGUCAUAAUCAGUUCUCUGAGACUUGAUUAUGACGUUAGUCGAUGUAAUAUGAACAGUGUCGGGACAACAACCCGAGUCAGGGAUCUUCUUCACUGACUGUAGACUGAGAACAUUAUACAAGAUUUAGGUAAUAUUUUCUAAAUGUGAUGUCCUUGGUUUUAUCAUAUGUGCAUGUUUAGCCUAUUUUCCCAUACUUUUAUUAAUUGAUUUCACCUCGCAAGAUGCAAAGGAAAGUUGCCACGAUUAUUAAUGAAUCAUUCAAUAGAAAGGGGGGGAAGAAUUGUUGCUGACCAGAUAUUGCCACAGGGUGACGCGUAAAAAAGACGAGAGCACCUAAAAGGCAGCCUUAACUCAAAAUAAGAGGGUGUUUUGUAACUGUCUGUCUGGCCCUCGGACUCCUCCUCCACCUAACUGUCAGUAGCAACGUUCUGGUUGAGUCCCGUUUGCCUUGUGCUAGCAAAUACUGUAGCAGAUUUUUUUUGUGAAAGUGAUACGAAGAGCCAACAAAGGGGUUGGCUCUUUAUACCCCGUUCUGUCUACCACUAAAUUGUUGUUCGGAAAUGUAUAGGGCUGCUGGUUGCAAUUAGCCAAGUUAUCGUUCCAUUUGAGAGAGGUUACAUUUGACAGCUCGCCACCUGGGACAGGGAGCUUUGCCUCUGCCUUACCCAUGAUGGCGACCCAAGAAGCGGACAUGUCGCGGCGCAGUAUGAGGCUGGUUUUAGGGGGAUACUACCACCAGUCAUCAGACGAUGAUGAGUCCUCCUCAGUUUCCUACAGGGAGAGCCCCGUGAGGGUUUUUACUAAGAGGAAGACAGGUGGUCGUAAAGUGGCGGCCUCUCGUACCUCCAGCCGGGCCAACAGCGUGGCUAGCACCGCUAGCAGCAAGGGUAGUACAGUGGAGCCACCCAUCAAUGCUGAGGACUACAUUGGGGUCUCAAGCUUGGUUCAGAGAAGGAAGACCUUCCAGGAACCUCUUGCCCCAGCCCCCAGCCUGAACCUGGCUCCCAGCCCCAUGGGCUUCUCGUCCUGCCAGACCGGCCUGAACCAGGCUCCCAGCCCCAGGGGCUUCUCGUCCUGCCAGACCGGCCUGAACCAGGCCCAGAGCCAGACCAGCGCCAUGGACAGCUCUGGUUACUCCUCUUCAGAGGCAAGACGUUACAGAGGAUACUCUGGAGACUCCUCCUUAGGCGAACAAAGGGCUAGCGCCAGCCAGAGAUCUGGCACUAACAGGACAAGUGCUAGAGCCAAUUGGACCCCUCCGUUUAUCCCGGCCGAUGUGGGGAAGGCCAUUCUAAUUGCCAUCCUCCUCAUCCUAUUGACCUUCGGCUGCUGGCUCCUUGCCCCCUUGGUAUGGGCCACCCUGACUUCAGCCCUGAAUGCUAUCACUAUGACCCUGAACCGACCUGUCAUCACCCCAACUCCGCCACCUGUCUUCACUACGCCACCUGUCAAGGCUAUGGAUGGAGCUUCGGUAUUGCAUUCUGCUCUGGAAGCCAAGAUGAACACCAUCCUGGUAAGAGAGACAGAGAGAAUGCACAAACUAUACUGCAUUUGGGUGUAUUCAUUUGGUUAA